AUCGCCAAGGGCUUAAAGGCCGGGUUAAACCCCCCAAAUCUCCUCCUUUCCACCGCCGGACAGGGUUGUCCGUGAGGGAGCUACCAUCCUACGCUCCGCCCUUGACAAGAGAAAAUAAAAGUACCGGAAUCCGGUCGGACACCGGGGACGGCUUGGGUCGAGGUCCCUGAAUCACCGUUUAAACCAGGCGAACGGGCUCUUUUUUUUGAAGGCUCGAACUUGGGGAAGGGGCCGGCUCGGCCGGGCCUUCUCAUUGAUCAGGAUCCCGUUCGGCGCCGUUUCCAUCCAACGCGCGCUCAUCCACCAGCGGAGAACUUGGCACGCCCUUCUUCCCCGGACGCGCGGAGCAGACGCCACGAGGACUUUCCUUCCGUUGACGCCUCUGGAGAGCGGCGCUUUGCUCCUUUGGAAGCAGUUUCCCACCCUUCCGAAUCAGGCGAAACAUCAGGCGAGGUUGACCGCUUAGCAUUAUUCGUCUUUCACCGCGACUUGGCCGAGCGAUCGCCGGCGGUUCGGUGGAUGGUUUCUUCCUUGAGCACCUUGGUUUGGUCCUUGCCUGUGCUCGCCUUGAAUUCUUGGCGUUUUGGUUGGUUGGGUCUGCGGCGUUGCAUGCGAGCCAGUUGAUGGCCUGGCUGAGGCAGCGGACUGGUGCGCCCGUCAUUUGUUCGAUGUAAUGUCAACGAGAGGAUUCUUGCUUCUUCCUUAAGAAAAAUUCCCUUUGUUAUCACCAAAUUCCUCUUUUUCUAUUCUUAGGACCAUGAGUUCAAUAUGAACUCAUCGAAACUGCUUCGAGUCACCGCCCAUGAAGCCGAAAAUCCUACCGAGGUGUCCCUCAGAGAGGCCUUCUUCCUCCUCCAGCCCCAACUGAAACCCCCCUUCCCUCUAUCAAUCCCCUCGCCCUCAGAAUACUCACAGCUGAAUCUUGCCAUCGCUUUCGGCAUCCUCACUGAGCCCCACCUCGCCAAAACCCACCUCACCCACCUCCAUGCCAUCGUCAUCGAUGGAUAUAACUUCUUCACCACCACCCUCCUCAAGCUCUGUAACGAGUCGUACCCCAAGCUCUUGGAAACCCCAAGAAUUCAGAUCCUCUGGCUCACUUCCAAUCUAGUCCAGGUCGCCGCCGUCCAUGUCGACUCGCUAAUUAUAUCCCUCUUGAGGCAGACUAUUGGCGGCCAUUUCUCCGAAUCCAAUUUGUGGCUGUGUGCUGAACUUGUCAAGAUCCUGUCUGAUAAUUGGGAUUGGAUAUUGGAUGAACCAUUGGUUCUUACAAGUGCAUUGUUCGUCUAUCUUCGGUUAUUGGCAGAUCACUACAGGUUGGGAGGCAGCGUGAAAUUGGAUUCAUUGAAGAGGAUGGAGAUCGAUUUCUGCAUCAAGGCGUUGAGAGAAUGCUUCAGUUUGUGUUUACAGAUAGGGAGGGACCUCGUUCGACUGCUUCAGGACUUGGUUCAUAUUCCUGAAUUCAGAGAUGUGUGGAAGGACCUCUUGUUUGAUCCUAGAAAGUUUCAAGUUUUGGGAUUUACCGAUAUUUCAGGGCUCUACCGAAUGAGAACGCCGGCACACUACUUUUUGCUGAGGAUCACGCCUGACAUGGAAGCACAUCUGCGAUUCUUGCUCACCUAUGUGAAUUGGGGGAGCCAGAAAAGAUACCAAGCUUGGUUUGCCAAGAAACACCUAUGCUGGCCUGGUAGCGAGACUGUUAUCGCUGAUAUUAUUCGGUUUAUAUGUUGUUCCCACCAUCCUCCUAAUGAGAUCAUCCAAUCUAACAUUAUCUCAAGAUGGGCAGUUGUUGGCUGGCUUCUGAAAAGCUGCAGGAGAAAUUACUUCGAGGCUAAUGCGAAGCUCGCUCUGUUUUAUGAUUGGCUGUUUUUUGAUGAGAAGGUGGAUAGUAUCAUGAACAUUGAGCCCGCAAUGCUUUUGAUGGUUAACUCUGUGCCCAAAUAUGUUGAUUUAACUCACACGCUCUUGGAGUUCUUGUUUCUGUUGGUCGACAAUUAUGAUGUUUCCAGGAAGGAAGCGAUCGUUCAUGGUGUUUCAGCGGCGCUUAAUUUACUGGUCAGAAAAGGAGUAGUUCGUUCACUGGAACCUCUGACUUCUUGUAAUUUGCUCUCGCUGUUGCUCAGAGAGAGGCUCAUUACCUUCCUCCCCAGAUCAGAUCCAGGAGUUGUUAAAGCAUCAUCUGAUACGUGUAGCCAGAGAAUGGUCACAGAUGGAGAGGUAGCUCCUGUCUUAGAAGAGAAAGGGUGAUGCAGUGCAGAAUCUAGUGAUUUGAACAACUUGAAAGAAGGUAAAUUUCAUGCUCUAUAGGACAUACGAAUUUCACUUAUUGUUACUUGAUAGAUAGCUAUUUACUUUGCCAAUUCAAUAUGAUGGUGGUACAUAACUAAUGUUGGCAGUCGUGGUCUCAAGUACACUCAUCGACUUCUAUCUAGAAUUGCAGAUUUAUGAUAGGUGAUUCUUAACAAUUUUUAAAUAAAAAUAUAACAAAAUGAAAAAAAAUAGGGGAGAGGAAUGUGAGCAAUGAUCAGUGAUAGCCUCGGACGAUUCUUCUGGCUGGUAGCCAUCCCUCAAUCUUUCCUGCUGAACAAAAAUCCUCUGUUGCGUGCAUCGGAGGAGAUCUCUUGGAGACUGCUUCUUUUCUUACCAUAUACCCCAUGGCAUUGAUCUUAAAAGUGAAAACUGAAGAGGCAAGGCGAGAUGGAACUCCUACUAACAGUCCAUCCAUCCCAUGACUCAAAAGAAAGAAAGAAAGAAAGAAAACAACGUUAGGCAUCCUCAUGCCAUCCAUCUUGUAGCUCUUCUUUCUUAGGAAGUCGUUCAUCCCUCUCCAUCCAUUUGUGAGUCCUUUCUCCUCCCUUCACCAGUACACAGUCGAUGCCCACAUGAUACACACCUAGCAAAUAAGUCAUCCAGCAACUCAAUACACACCUAUAGGCAAGUCAGUAUAUAAUUUGCAGAGCAUGAUGUUCACUAAUACAUAGUGCACGUCAAGUAAUACACAUCUAGCAAAUUAGUUCAGCCAGCGAUCAAAUUCAUAUCUUCAGGCAAAACGAUAUACAAUUUUCAAAUUGUGAUGUUCUUCAAUACAUAGUCCAUGACCAUGAGAUACAUAUUUGGUAAAUUAAUCAUUUAGCGAUUUGAUACACAAGCAAUUCGAUAUAUAAUUUUCGGACAUAGUGUUUGUUAGUACACAAUUCAUGGCCACAUGAUACAUACUUAUCAAAUAAAUCAUUCAGAAGUUGCACUUGGCCAUGUGAUAAAUAGCAUGUCCUCUUAAUUUGACAUGUACGGAUUGCCUUUGAAACAUUCAGUUGUCCACAUAAAUUUUUUGAUACUCCACCGUGAAAUCAUAUGAUUUUUGUUCAUCAUUAACUUUGUUUGCUGUAAAUGUUGUUAGCAUAUAAGUAUAUGUUCACUGCUUUUACUGUGUUACAUACGAGAAGCAGGUGUGCUCAGGGCAGAAAAGUAAAAUGGGACAUGUUCUAAUGUGAGGUACCACAAAUUCAACAGUGUUAAUCUACGUUGGAUGGAAAUGUGAAAGGAUCAAAGGUUUCAUUCACUAUUAACCUUAACUUUAUCAUCUUGUGGCAUUUAUGGUGCUCAAGAAAUAAGAUGAGGUGACCUUGUCUGACUUCCAUCGUUUUAGAGAAGCUGUUGGUUGUUUUGUUUCAAAGUUAAAACGAACUUGAGGUUUUGAAUUGAAUGGACAUGCAGUUUAGUGAUGUA